AGAGUGAACGCUGGCGGUAGGCCUAACACAUGCAAGUCGAACGGCAGCACGGUAAGAGCUUGCUCUUAUGGGUGGCGAGUGGCGGACGGGUGAGGAAUACAUCGGAAUCUACCUUUUGGUGGGGGAUAACGUAGGGAAACUUACGCUAAUACCGCAUACGCCCUUCGGGGGAAAGCCGGGGACCAGCAAUGGCCUGGCGCUGAUAGAUGAGCCGAUGUCGGAUUAGCUAGUUGGUGAGGUAAUGGCUCACCAAGGCGACGAUCCGUAGCUGGUCUGAGAGGAUGAUCAGCCACACUGGAACUGAGACACGGUCCAGACUCCUACGGGAGCAGCAGUGGGAAUAGUUGGACAGUGGGCGCAAGCCUGACUCCAGCCAUACCGCGUGGUAGAA
rnacentral:rRNA from 1 species